AGCAGUGUAGCAUAGCGGUAAGGUGGUGGGCUUGUAACCGAAAGGCCGCAGGUUUGAUUCCCCGCUGGGG